GUAGGGGGCAAGCGUUGUCCGGAUUUAUUGGGCGUAAAGAGCGUGUAGGCGGCUUCACAAGUCCGCUGUGAAAACUCGAGGCUCAACCUCGAGCUGUCGGUGGAAACUGUGUGGCUAGAGUCCGGAAGAGGAGAGUGGAAUUCCCGGUGUAGCGGUGAAAUGCGCAGAUAUCGGGAAGAACACCCGUGGCGAAGGCGGCUCUCUGGGACGGUACUGACGCUGAGACGCGAAAGCGUGGGGAGCGAACAGGAUUAGAUACCCUGGUAGUCCACGCCGUAAACGAUGGGUGCUAGGUGUGGGGGGUGUCGACUCCCUCCGUGCCGAAGCUAACGCAUUAAGCACCCCGCCUGGGGAGUACGGCCGCAAGGCUA
rnacentral:rRNA from 1 species